rnacentral:rRNA from 1 species
GUAAAGGCAGGCAGCACGGUACAGGAAUAUUGGUCAAUGGACGGAAGUCUGAACCAGCCAUGCCGCGUGCAGGAAGAAGGCCCUAUGGGUUGUAAACUGCUUUAGCCAGGGGCUAAACCUACCGAUGCGUUGGUAGCUGAAGGUACCUGGAGAAUAAGCAUCGGCUAACUCCGUGCCAGCAGCCGCGGUAAUACGGAGGAUGCGAGCGUUAUCCGGAUUUACUGGGUUUAAAGGGUGCGCAGGCGGUUGUUUAAGUCAGGGGUGAAAUUCCGGGGCUCAACCCUGGGACUGCCUUUGAUACUGAACAGCUAGAGUGAAGAUGGAGUGGGUGGAAUGUGUUGUGUAGCGGUGAAAUGCAUAGAUAUAACACAGAACACCGAUCGCGAAGGCAGCUCACUAAACUUCAACUGACGCUCAAGCACGAAAGCGUGGGGAUCAAACAGGAUUAGAUACCCUGGUAGUCCACGCUGUAAACGAUGAUCACUAGCUGUUGGGUCGAAAAGGCUCAGUGGUUAAGCGAAAGUGAUAAGUGAUCCACCUGGGGAGUACGACCGCAAGGUUGAAACUCAAAGGAAUUGACGGAAACUCNAAGGAA